rnacentral:rRNA from 1 species
UACGGAGGGGGCGAGCGUUAUUCGGAAUUAUUGGGCGUAAAGGGCGCGUAGGCGGCCCGGUAAGUCAAAGGUGAAAUCCCUCGGCUCAACUGAGGAACUGCCUUUGAAACUGUCGGGCUUGAGGCCGGGAGGGGGUAGCGGAAUUCCCAGUGUAGCGGUGAAAUGCGUAGAUAUUGGGAGGAACACCGGUGGCGAAGGCGGCUACCUGGACCGGUUUUGACGCUGAUGCGCGAAAGCGUGGGUAGCAAACAGG